rnacentral:rRNA from 1 species
GUGGGGAAUAUUGGACAAUGGGCGCAAGCCUGAUCCAGCCAUGCCGCGUGAGUGAUGAAGGCCCUAGGGUUGUAAAGCUCUUUCAGUGGGGACGAUAAUGACGGUACCCACAGAAGAAGCCCCGGCUAACUUCGUGCCAGCAGCCGCGGUAAUACGAAGGGGGCUAGCGUUGUUCGGAUUUACUGGGCGUAAAGCGCACGUAGGCGGAUCGUUAAGUCGGUGGUGAAAUCCUGGAGCUCAACUCCAGAACUGACUUCGAUACUGGCGAUCUUGAGUCCGGAAGAGGUGAGUGGAACUCCUAGUGUAGAGGUGGAAUUCGUAGAUAUUAGGAAGAACACCAGUGGCGAAGGCGGCUCACUGGUCCGGUACUGACGCUGAGGUGCGAAAGCGUGGGGAGCAAACAGGAUUAGAAACCCUGGUAGUCC